AGUCUAACAUGUGCGCGAGUCAUUGGGACUUGUUAAGCCUAAAGGCGCAAUGAAAGUGAAGGUCGACCCAAGCGUCGACCGAGGGAGGAUGGCUCGCGUCACGAUGCGAGUCCGCACUCCCGGGGCGUCUCGCGCUCACUGCGAGCGGAGGCGCACCCAGAGCGUACACGUUGGGACCCGAAAGAUGGUGAACUAUGCCUGGUCAGGACGAAGUCAGGGGAAACCCUGAUGGAGGUCCGUAGCGAUUCUGACGUGCAAAUCGAUCGUCGGAACUGGGUAUAGGGGCGAAAGACUAAUCGAACCAUCUAGUAGCUGGUUCCCUCCGAAGUUUCCCUCAGGAUAGCUGGCACUCGCUUGAGCGAGUCUCAUCUGGUAAAGCGAAUGAUUAGAGGCCUUGGGGCCGAAACGACCUCAACCUAUUCUCAAACUUUAAAUGGGUGAGAUCUCUGGCUUGCUUGAACGUUGAAGCCACGAGAUUAAUUUUUGCAAUGGAUCAGAGUGCCAAGUGGGCCAAUUUUGGUAAGCAGAACUGGCGCUGUGGGA
rnacentral:rRNA from 1 species